rnacentral:rRNA from 1 species
GGACCUCUUCGGAGGUCAGCGGCGGACGGGUGAGGAACACGUGGGUAAUCUGCCUUUCAGACCGGAAUAACGCCCGGAAACGGGCGCUAAUGCCGGAUACGCCCGAUGGGAGGCAUCUUUUGUCGGGGAAAGGGCCAACCGGUCCGCUGAGAGAGGAGCCCGCGGCGCAUUAGCUGGUUGGCGGGGUAACGGCCCACCAAGGCGACGAUGCGUAGCCGGCCUGAGAGGGUGAACGGCCACACUGGGACUGAGACACGGCCCAGACUCCUACGGGAGGCAGCAGUAGGGAAUCUUCCGCAAUGGGCGCAAGCCUGACGGAGCAACGCCGCGUGAGCGAAGAAGGCCUUCGGGUUGUAAAGCUCUGUUGCUCGGGGAGAGUGGCGCGGGGAGGGGAAAGCCCUGCGCGAGACGGUACCGAGUGAGGAAGCCCCGGCUAACUACGUGCCAGCAGCCGCGGUAAAACGUAGGGGGCGAGCGUUGUCCGGAAUCACUGGGCGUAAAGGGUGCGUAGGCGGUCGAGCAAGUCUGGAGUGAAAGUCCGUGGCUCAACCAUGGGAUGGCUCUGGAAACUGCUUGACUUGAGUGCUGGAGAGGCAAGGGGAAUUCCACGUGUAGCGGUGAAAUGCGUAGAGAUGUGGAGGAAUACCAGUGGCGAAGGCGCCUUGCUGGAC